rnacentral:rRNA from 1 species
GACAGAGGUUGCAAACGUUGUUCGGAAUCACUGGGCAUAAAGCGCACGUGGGCGGUCUGUUAAGUCAGGUGUGAAAGCCCCCGGCUCAACCGGGGAAUUGCAUUUGAUACUGGCAGGCUCGAGAACGGUAGGGGUGAGUGGAACUCCAGGUGGAGCGGUGAAAUGCGUAGAUAUCUGGAGGAACACCGGUGGCGAAAGCGGCUCACUGGACCGUCACUGACGCUGAGGUGCGAAAGCUAGGGUAGCAAACGGG